UCGAACUAAAGGCUCAAUAUUAAAUAGUAAAUAAGAAAAGCAGGGUAAUAACGCCUCACUUUUGGUACGAUCAUGAUGUGCUAAAAGUUAGGGUGUUACAUCAGGGAUUUGGACCCUGAGGUCGACCGACAAGAGGCACCUCUACAAUUUGUUCAUCCAAGUCCGGCAAGUGGUUUCGGUUCAACCAAGAAUGAGUAGUGGUUUAACUGAAGUGUGUUGGUUGGUGAUUACCAUUUUUGUUGCUGGGUGCAGUGUCAUCUCCCAAAGAUGUUCCUGACUUGAAGAAGCUUGGUGUCGAAGUUGUAGUUUUUCUGAAUGAACCGUAUGAAACGGUGUUGCCGUCAUCAUUGUAUCAUGAUACAAGGGGAAGCACACAGACAAACUUUUGGUGGUUUGAAGUCACUCCUUCAAAGCAUCAGAAUGAGUUUCCAUCAAUGCCUCCCGUAAAUUCAGCUUACUCUAUCCAGUCCGAUGCAGUUGAAAAUGAAUCAUAUCAAAGCUUCCCAAAGUACCCUAGCAGACAGCAAGCCCAGCUGUGAGGAACCACUUCAUUACACGGUUGUUGUACGUUGGAGAUUUAGACUCUGUUGUCAACGAGAGGCACCGCCACUAUUUGUUCAUCCAAGUCCGACUAGGGGUUUCAGUUCAACCAGGAACGAGAAAUCACGAUGAUGAUGAAAGGAAGCUUGACGAAAGAAAGAGAAGAGGGUGGCGAUGAUGGAAAUUCAGCUUACUCUGUUCAGUCCGAUGCAAUUGAAUAUGAAUCAUAUAAAAAGCUCCCCAUAGUACUGUACCCAAACACAUAUUGCGCAUACUCUUCCUGUUUCACUAAAUAACAUUGGAGGUGUAUUCAUGGGAGCCUGUUCUGUAUUAAUAGAA